CAUUCAGAACCUACUACCACCUCCUGAUGAACGUGGGAGUGUGUGCGUACACACACAUGCAUGUGUACGUGUGUAUAUACACACACACACACACACACACAUUUUU
rnacentral:miRNA from 1 species